rnacentral:rRNA from 1 species
GACGAACGCUGGCGGCGUGCUUAACACAUGCAAGUCGAGCGGGGUCCAUCCGGUGGCAACACCGGGGAAGACCUAGCGGCGAACGGGUGAGUAACACGUGAGCAACCUGCCCCGAAGACUGGGAUAACACCGGGAAACCGGUGCUAAUACCGGAUGCCCUCACCGGGCCGCAUGACCUGGUGAGGAAAUGGCUGAGUCUUAUAGAUUCAGCUGCUUCGGGAGGGGCUCGCGGGCUAUCAGCUUGUUGGUGGGGUAACGGCCCACCAAGGCUACGACG